rnacentral:rRNA from 1 species
AUGAUAGAAUGUGGCGCAUGCCACGCUUUUGAAAGAUGGUUUCGGCUAUCGCUUACAGAUGGGCCCGCGGUGCAUUAGCUAGUUGGUAGGGUAAUGGCCUACCAAGGCAACGAUGCAUAGCCGACCUGAGAGGGUGAUCGGCCACACUGGGACUGAGACACGGCCCAGACUCCUACGGGAGGCAGCAGUAGGGAAUCUUCCGCAAUGGACGAAAGUCUGACGGAGCAACGCCGCGUGUAUGAAGAAGGUUUUCGGAUCGUAAAGUACUGUUGUUAGAGAAGAACAAGGAUAAGAGUAACUGCUUGUCCCUUGACGGUAUCUAACCAGAAAGCCACGGCUAACUACGUGCCAGCAGCCGCGGUAAUACGUAGGUGGCAAGCGUUGUCCGGAUUUAUUGGGCGUAAAGCGCGCGCAGGCGGUCUUUUAAGUCUGAUGUGAAAGCCCCCGGCUUAACCGGGGAGGGUCAUUGGAAACUGGAAGACUGGAGUGCAGAAGAGGAGAGUGGAAUUCCACGUGUAGCGGUGAAAUGCGUAGAUAUGUGGAGGAACACCAGUGGCGAAGGCGACUCUCUGGUCUGUAACUGACGCUGAGGCGCGAAAGCGUGGGGAGCAAACAGGAUU